rnacentral:lncRNA from 1 species
AGGACUAUUUUGCUAAGUAGAAAGUUCCAAGAUGAAACCAUCAAAAUUGAAGUCGACAUGCCUAGUAUUUCAGAUGAUGAUGAUAAUGAUGAUGAUGAUGAUGAUGAUGCCAAGGACGCAGAUGUCUCUAGCAUUCCGUUGGUUGUGAGUAUUACCAAGGGAAGCGGUCAGUAUAUGGAGUUCUGUAUCACUGCUUUCCUUGAUGAGAUUUCGAUUGAUAGCUUGUCAAUAAAAACCCUG